CAAGUUAGAGCUUGAAAAAGUGCUUUAGUUACAUUAAAGAGAUUGUUGAUUAAUUCAAUUAAUUUGA
rnacentral:tRNA from 1 species